CCCAGCACGGCAGCUCCCUGCCAGGCUUGCUUCUGGAACAGCCGCAGGUAAAAGCGAAUCUCGUGCAGCUCCUUAAUCAAACGUCUUAGUGCCUCAAGAGCUGGAAAGGAUUCGGGGAAUGCGGCUGGGCUGUUUGCAAACUUCUCCAGGCUCCAGCUCUCCUUUCUGCAAGACCAAAGGGAACCCGAGCCGGGAGCCCUGCAGACGUGAGCUUCACCCCGAUACGGGGCUGGGACCAGGCACAGGAGCCAGAGCCGGGGGCCACAUUCAGGAUAUUUAGGCUGGGUCCUGGCUGGAGCAAGGAUCUGUAGCAAAGCCCAGAUGUGGAAGUGGGAGCCGCCUCCCUGCUGAGCUCUGUGGGAUGCAGCAGCCCGUGGUUAGGGCUGGGCCCUCUGUAGCUGACCUCGGGUGGUGUUCCAGCAUCCGAAAGAACUUCAGCGGCUUCGAGGGUGAUGCCUCCCUUGGAAACAGCAACCUGAAAUUACAGCAAGGCCACAGACGCAUCCGCUGGGGAGUACAGGGCAGGCUGGCGGCGGGAUAUCCAGCUCCCAGCUGGGGAAGGGAUGCGAGGAAGAGCCGGGAGCUAUUUCAGCUCCCCGUGCCACCCCCUUCCUCGUGCCGCUCCAGCUCGGGUGCUAACGAAUGCUUCACG